ensembl:lncRNA
CUGAGAUAAAGACGGACUUUUAUUUUCCAAGAAGGGAUGUGCUUGUGCAAUGUUCAUAGCAGUGGUGGAUUUACACUCACUGACAGAGUGAAGCAAUACGUCUCCCAGAACUAGUGGCAUUACCACCUUUACUCAGCCCUUCCACCAGCUGCAGUGUCUCGGGAAAGUCCUUCUCAUGAAGAAAACAUCUCUGCAAUGCCCAGCCCAGUCUCUCCAUGCAGAGAAGUGCUGGGAAUGGAGUGGCACACUCAAGUGGCUGAGCAAAGCAGCUUGAAAACCUUGCACCAGAUGGGCUUCCGCUGAGCACUGCUCCUUGCAGCACAAACCCAUCCUCUGCUGCAGCCAGCAGCUCAGCCCCGGGGUAGGCUGCACAGGUUGGUCAAUUCCAAAUAGCAGGAGCUGUUCUCACAGCCACGGACAGACAAAAAGCUCAUGGUGACCUGAAGGACCAACAGCUGAAAGUUCUUGUGGGCCGUCACAAUCACUGGGGAACAGUGCUCGUCAGAAAGCUGUUUUGUGGAGAAAACAUGUUCUUCAGUAUGUUUCCCUCUUUUUCAGUUUAGGAGCAGAUUUUGUAAUAUUCACACAGAUAUCCCCAGACAAUCCAUUUGCUUCAUACAAACAUAUGUUGAUUGUUUGACAGACACCAUAUUUUUGCUGAUUGUGGCUUAGCUGGUGGUGCGGAGAUACCUGAAGGAGAUGGAGAGCAGAACUGGCAGCUGGAGACUGCUCUCUGCCUGUGCUCGAAGAGGAACAGUCCUUGAGACCUUGUCCUUGGGGCACUGCAGGUGCCUGGGGGAGGAAGGUUCCAGAUGACAGGCUUUCCUUCCAUCCUGCCUGGCCUUUCUGUCUGGGGUGUCUGCCUUCCCAUGGGAACAGAUUCGGACAUGAUGGGGAACGUGAUGUGGAGACAUCUGAAACUGUUAAAUCCAGUGAUGUGCGAAUAUUGCUGGCCUGCUUCCAGGCAUGUUGUAGAACAUCUGUGUACCACUGCACAUAGCCAGGGCUGGGCUCUUACAGCUCAGGAAUGAUUCCUUCCUGGGGAAGGCAGCCUGCAAAGACCACUCAACUGAGGAGCAAUUGGAUGAAGAGAAGUGUCAGGAGGAGAGGGACAGCAGUGGUAUUCAGUCACAGCCAAUGUGGUUUAAAGGCACCAAACUACAGGUGAAAGGGACUUACUAGAGCUGUGUCUCAGGUUAUCCAGAGACCCAGGAAGAAUCCAGGCCACAGUUUGGUAAUGUAAAUCCAGCUUCAGAGCUCUUGUUAGAUCAAAAAUAUUGCAUCCUCUUGCUACAGGAAUUAAAAGAGUAAGUUUAAAGUAGCACUGAGUGCUCUAUCUACGAACUGGCCUGCUAAUUUACUGUAGGAGUUUGACAGGCAUACGGCACAGCAGCUUCUCUCCUCAGAUGCUGUGUGAAAGCAAGAUAUAAAGCAUCUCCAGAACAAGACUGCAGGGGGGGAAAUAGCUGAACUGACAAUGCAUAACAUCACAUUUACAGAGUAAACAAGCUGGGGAGACAAAAGCAAAUCUUCUCUCAAGUCUUUAGUUAAAAGAGUCUUUUUUACAGCAUGCAGCUUUUAUAGCAUGCAGCUGUAGCACCACCAUCGCACAGAUGGGAUUGGGAGAUUUGAAACCAAUGUUCCUUUUAAGAGUUUGCCAUGUGCUCCCAUUCUAGUAACACACAGUAUCCACUGGAUUACCAGCAGGCGAAGGCCUGUCACCAAAUACAUUUCCAGCAGCCGCAUCCAGGGGCACGGAGAUGCAGCACUGCCAGCAUCAGGCUCCACUUGCAGCCCCAACUGCAAACCAGGUGCACAAACUCUGCCCAUUAUCUUUUCCUAAGGAUGCUAUCUGAGACAAAAAAGGGAGGGUUGUAGUACUUCAGUGCUCCAGAUUUGCCUGCGCUGAAGCCAGCUCUGCCUGUGUGAGGGGACAGACUGAGAAUCCUAUGCAUGCACACACAGAUGCAUACACACUUACUAAACUUUGCAGUCAGAAGCUGUCUUCAAUGCCAUUUUGCCUUCUUUGGUCUUGCUUUUUUCCCGCAAAAAAAGAAGUGGUUGCAUGCAGAAAUAGCACCUUGCCAUGAAGGGGCUCUGGGGGCAACUAUGCGAUGUUGCAGUGCUGCUUUUCAGAGCAUUGAGCUGGCAGUGCAGAAGAGGAGAGAAAGGACUGAAGGAGAGAAACAGCUUCUUCAUGAUGCCAGGUCAGCUGGCGCUCCUCUUGUUCAGGUGUUAAACUCCCAUACGUUGGCCUGGCCAAGGCUGUAUGGAUACACUGUGAAAUUACGCUUAAGACGCUCAACACUAAGCUCAUUCCUCUCCCAAGACGUGGAAAAUUCAGUCUUGGAUUGGAACCUGUUUUUUUUUUUGUUGUUGUUGUUGUUUUGUUUUGUUUUUAUUGGCAAAACACCCUGAAGCACAAACCUCCUAGCCCUCACACAAAGGUCCGCAGCGUUUCGGUAGCAGAGGGGUGGGUGAGGUGGGGGGGAUUACGCGUUGCUGUUGUUCUGUUGAAAGUAGGUUUGUUUCUGUCUCAUAAAGUAUGCAAGAAUUUUCCCAUGCUCUGCUCCUGGCCAGCCCUGAACAGCAUGCUUUGCACAUUAGCAGCUGAUGCUGGAAUGUGGCGUUCCCAGGGCAACUAUUAACCCCCCAUGGAGCACCGCCAACCCCUCACCAUUGUGUGGGGCCUGACUGAAGGCCGCUUUGUUGGGUGAUGUAAUGCCAUGUAUGCAAACUAAGCCAGGGGCACAAAUGGCACUUGGAAACUGUUCCCUGACUUCAAAGGAUGGGCUGCGUGACUCCCACUAUGGCUGACUCCAGCCUGCACCAUCCCGGCCAUAUUUCCAGUGCUGUCCCACCUGCCAUCAUUGCCCUGCGAUGGCCCUGGCAGAAGCUGUACCUGCCUUGUUCACCUUCACCCAUAUGUUCCCACCUGGGCCUCUGUGCCUCUGAGCACUGUGCCCUCAAGAGAUUUGGCUUUCAUAUUGAUUAGAGGCUUCAGCUCCCAAGAACCAUGACUUGAUGUAGACCUAACGCUGCGUAAAUAGUAAAAAUACAUUUUUUCCAUCUCUGAAGCUUUGCUGAGUUCUUCAGGCAUUGAAUACUGGGUGGGGAACUGGAGGUUUGCCACUAGCUUCAAAAAGAGAGCAAUGCUGCUGUUACAUCUAAAAUCCAUUUAUUACAUGGCUGUCUAAAUUCAGUUUCGUAAAAUAUCAGAGCAUAUCAGGGACUGCAGGGACUAACCAAAUCCUUACCAGCACCUUGGGUUUAUGGAAAAUCUCAGCAUCAGACAACUCACAACAUCCCAGAUUGAUUGAGAAACAACGGUAACGUGCCUGGUCUGCAAGACCACUUUCUGUUCUGAACAAGGGAUUGGUAGAAGCAUUUUGAAGGAUACAAAACAAAACAAAACAGAAAAAGGAAAAGGAAAAUUUGCGGUAUUCAAAACAUUAUUUACAAUGCACUUCUGUUGUGUAAUAGCAAACCAAUAUCUAACUCCAAUUAGGAUGGAGAAGUUCUGACUGAGAACUGAAAGCACCCUAAUUUCAUAUCUAUUUGCAGACUGCACAGUACUUCAGUACUGACAUCCUGUCCUAGUACAUUUUGGCCUCGUUGUUCACAGAUAUAUAGGGUGAUGGAAAAUGUAUAAAGACAUCACUGAGUUAAGUGUCUAAUGUUUUGCUUCGUGUUUCUUAGUAUACACAGCUUUUGGUACCAGGACUUUGUCAAACGAUCUCAGACAUUUCCUGUAGUACAUCUGUAAGGCACACAAGUCAAGAAUCAUUAUGAUGUUUUUAACCAGGGCAAAAUAAAUACAUAAAAGGACAAGUAUUUUGGUCAUACAUCACUGUCGGUGACAGAACUGGGACAAUAAUCCAGUGCAUGCAGACAGGAAGAACUCGUUUUAAUUUCAGGGCCAGGGGGCCCCCCUCAGUCUCCUAGUUCACCUGCCUUAAGGAAGGUGAUUUGAUGAUCACACAGUUCUUCUGAUGGGAAUGAAAACUGAAUUACAUAGUGUUCUUUGUAACAAAUGAAACAAAAAAUACAAGCUAGAAAGCCAAGAAAUUCAAAGAUACUCAUAACACAACCUUAUGAUGUGGAAAUAGAAAGUGAAUAUAAGGCACAUAACCUUAAGUUUGCCCAUGUGUCCCUAUCAAAAUGGAAUUAGGAAGAUUUCUGCUUCAGUUACCCAGCUCCCAAAAAUGAAGAUGUUGAGAACUCAGUGAGAUUCAGUCCUGCUUGCCUUUAGGUUACACAUUACUUUCUGUGGGAAGAGCUUAGCAGAUCUAGUAGCGUGAAUGGAUGGGUUAUAAUGACAGUAAUAACAAAUGUCAUGCACAUUCCAUGAUUAGCUAGAAAAAUGACGCUAGGGCUAAAUAGGCAUGUCUCAUUCAGAUGCAUGUCACCAAGCCGGGCUCAUCACCUAGGUACUGGAUGCCAUCUCUCCCUUUUUCUCCUUCUCCUAUUGCUAAACAUGCUAAUCCUGUGCAGCAACCAAACAUCAUUAUUGCAGGCUUGUCCAAAAAUUAUGCAGAGACAAUUAGCCUCAUUGAAAAAGGUAUCAAAGACCUCACAGUAUCAUUCAUCUGUCCCUCACUGUGCGCGCACACACACACAGAGGCAUCCAAGGGAUUUUAAACAUAGCUAAAGACAGUGUUUUCAUUAGUUCACUGUGAAUGGCAGUGACUUCAUGCAUUAAAAACUCGGCACCUCCCCCUGUGGUGUAAUGCCUGUGCCUGAGAUGAAUGGCUUUGCUACAGCUUUUUGUCCUGAAAGCCUAAGAUAGAGAUGCUCACCAGCCCCAAGGGAGGCUGCAGCUGAACGUGGCCUAUUAUGACCAUGCUGGCAGCACCUAUUGAUUGCAAAAAGCAAGUGAUAGCAUCCUCACCAAAAUAAACACAAGGAUAAGGGGAAUGCAGAGGAAUACCUCGGCUUAGCUUCUCCUAAGGUGUACGUAGUCAGCAAGCUCUUUCCAGAUUGCUUUACUAAUAUGGACAGCCACAGAGCUCCUGAGAAGUAGAAAUGUCAUCCCUCGUCUUCCUCCUUCAUGUUGUAAAAGUUUAAAAAAGAAAUAUGAGGUGUGUUCAACCACAGCAUUCACAAAUGCAACUCUCAGCACCCAGACAUCAUGUGGGAACAGAAAAACUAAAAGUUGGGCGAGUGGAUGCAGGAAGAAUCCAGAAGUUUGCAGAAACUGUCAUUCAGUACAUGUUUAUGACAAAUACAUGCUGUGAUAUCGUCAUGAGGGAAUAUCUGAACCUCUACAGAGUCUGCUGUACUGAAUCAGCCUACUGAAUGAGACCCUAAGUUGCUUCACACUUUAUCUUACUGAGAAUUUGCCAACAAAGAUGAAAAAAAAAAGAAAAAGAACCCACAAUUCUGGAAAACGAUUACGACCAUAACUUGUCUUGGGAGACAUGAUGGUGCAGCCAGAGAUCAACCAAGCUGUGGAAGCUGAGCCCUGGCAUCAGCCGAUGACUGUGCAAUCCCAUUGAAGUGCUUCCAGGCCCAAAAGCUUGCUCCCAUUUUACAGCUGUAGGGGCUGUUACUGCUCUCUCAAAGCGCUUCUCCGGACCACCAAGGCUGCAACAAUUUCACUGCUGCUUUCUUAAGAGCAGCAACUUCCACAGGAUAGAUCAAUAGCCUGAUCCAAGAGCAGUGGCCAUGCAGAGAUGUGCAGCCAUUCUAAAACCUCAGCUCUUACGUUUGCUUGAAAAUAUAAAUCAAAACUUUUCCCAAUUCCAUUAUUGAAAAUAUUUACCUGCUCUGAAAUAGGUUACUAUCACCUCCUUAGCAGCCCUAGGAAAAAUCGCUGUUAGACCAGAUCAGUACAUUUUCACAAUGGGCUGCUUUUUGCUUUUUAAGAGUGAAUUAGACCGGCCUGGAGCAGUGUCUGUGCAUAGCCUUUAGGAAUCCACAGUUGUUAAUAAUUAAACUAGACGCCAUUUCCUAAAGGUGGACCUGCAACUGAAACGCGAUCCAUAGGUAGGCAGCAGGAACCAAGGCAAAGCCACUGUUCUUCUAAUAAAGAAUGAUUACUGCCUUCAAGCAUAAUGCUUUUGACAGGCUGGUCUAAACUCUUGUUGGGGUCAGAAGGUUAAUCUCGCAGCAGCUACAGGCCCCCUCGCUGCUGAGCGUGAACAAUAUGGUUAACAUUUUUGGAACGGAGUUAAAUUUCUUGGUAAUUCCUGGCCCACACCUGACAGAAGCCGCACUCUUCUCUGCUUUUGGAACCUGCCAUCUGGAAGAUAACAAAUUCUUAUCUAGCCUGUUGAUCUUUUCUUAAAUCACUAUGAAUGUUUCCCACCGCUGACCAAAAGACCAGAAAACAGAGUUUACCCACCUGAAAUAAACUCCGAGCUUUCCUGGGGCUAAUUCCUUCAGAUCUUAAUGUGACUGCAAAACACAGGAAUGUGUGACACAGCGGAGAGCUCUCAAUGCCAGCAACAUUCCUCGGGCUCAUCACUGCAGCCAUCACAGCUCUUUUUCCUGGGCUACCAAGUAAAUGCAAAUAAAUCUUGACAUCGUGUUUUUGUUCAUUAUCUGACCGUAUUUGGCUUCAUUCAUCAGUUUAUCCUCACGUAAGUUAAUACAGGAUGGAUGACGUCGUUUAGCUUAU